UGGGGAAUAUUGGACAAUGGGCGAAAGCCUGAUCCAGCCAUGCCGCGUGUGUGAAGAAGGUCUUCGGAUUGUAAAGCACUUUAAGUUGGGAGGAAGGGCAUUAACCUAAUACGUUAGUGUUUUGACGUUACCGACAGAAAAAGCACCGGCUAACUCUGUGCCAGCAGCCGCGGUAAUACAGAGGAUGCAAGCGUUAAUCGGAAUUACUGGGCGUAAAGCGCGCGUAGGUGGUUUGUUAAGUUGGAUGUGAAAUCCCCGGGCUCAACCUGGGAACUGCAUUCAAAACUGACUGACUAGAGUAUGGUAGAGGGUGGUGGAAUUUCCUGUGUAGAGGUGAAAUGCGUAGAUAUAGGAAGGAACACCAGUGGCGAAGGCGACCACCUGGACUAAUACUGACACUGAGGUGCGAAAGCGUGGGGAGCAAACA
rnacentral:rRNA from 1 species